UUUUUAUUUGAAAAUAAAUGAAUAUGCAUCAGUAAAUAAAGUAACGUAAUCUGCGGACCUCGUCAGGUAUUUUUUAUUUUGUAUUAUUUUAAAAGUUUUGGAUGUAUCGCGGGCUGGAUAGAAUGACUCAACGGGCCGGAUCCGGCCCGGGGGCCUUAUCUUGCCCAGGUCUGCUUUAGACCAUACUUAACAUCUGGCAUGGACCUCAGUAGACAUUUAAGCUCAUAGUUUGCGGCCCGCUUCUUGGCAAUCUCAGGCGGAAAGUCCAGGAAGACGAACACAGUUUUGUCUCUAAACUUAAGCUGCCCACCACGGCUCGCUUUUUGCCAAAUAUCCUCCUUGACGACGUAUCGAUGGAAGCAAAUUACGAAGGCUCGCGGUCAGCUACCCUCCGCAGGUUUCGGUCCAAGUGUACGAUGUGCGCGAGCAAGGAGUGGAGGUUCAGAAAGAUCAAAUAUCUCCGCAAAGCAUCUGCCACGAACUUCGUAGGUUGUGGGCCUUCCAAACCUUCCGGAAUUCCCACCAAGCGAAGAUUGGAUCUGCCGGGAACGACACUCUAAAUCGAUGCACUUAGCUUACAGUGAGGCGACCUCUAUCUGGAGAGAAACGACCGUUGGCUCGAGAGAGUGAAAACUUGUCGUCCAUUCUGAGGUCGCUGUCUCCAGAAUCCAUCUGAGACAGAGAGAAAAUGCGAGACAGGGAGACUACGUAAGGGAAGACAGCACGACCAGCAAUUCCUGAACUGAUGGGUUGUAGUCUGGGGACAAGAAGCCGGCUACAACCCACGCAAAGACCCCCAACGCCCCGUCCAGGAAACGCUUUUCUGUGGACCAGACCACAUUCCUACUUCUCCACAAGAAUUAACCAGUGGACCGAAGCCACUGUGGAUCCUGUGUUUCUGCCGAGCCAGCAGAGAAGAACAUUCCAGAGGGGCAACAUGGAGUCAAAGUGCUGAGGCAAGCUGAUGCUUCAUACUCUCAUAACACAUAUAAAUACACACUGUCACAACCACACAAACAACUUAAAACACAAACAAGAAUUCAUAAAACACAAACAAAAAUUCUCAGCUUUGUUUAUAUGUCAUUAUUCAGUAGCACUGCGAUGGGAAGAGGCUUCAGUUUAUAGGUAAAGGGGUGUGUACACGUUUGAUAGAGAUGGGCAUACUAGAUUCUACAGAUUAGAACGUUAAACCGGACUGGCACUCCAGAUGUACAUCAUGUACAUGUAUGAGUAGUAUUGCUUUACAUUUGAAAAUCUGGAAUAUUUAUAUAGAAAAUAUCCAAAACAAUAAAAACAGUUCACUUGUAAUUUUUACGAAACCACUUACUUCCCUACAAGCUACCCUCCCACCCAAGACCUGACCAUUUGGCACGAUAAUUAUAUUACUUUAUAUGUUGUUGUUUUUGUAAAUUUUUUCAUGUAAUUUGUAGACAUUUGAAUAGGAACCAUCACUCUCACAUUUAGUGUAACAUGUUUUUGUACAUAUAGGUACUGUAUAGGACAUAACAAUCAUCAUUUAAAAACAUUUCUUGUGAAAUAUCUUUUUUUUUCUUAUUAUUUUUUUCUUUUUCUACAUUUCUGAUAUGUAAAUUAAAUAAUUU
ensembl:lncRNA